rnacentral:rRNA from 1 species
AACCUCCGCAAUGUGAGAAAUCGCGACGGGGGGAUCCCAAGUGCCAUUCUUAACGGGAUGGCUUUUCAUUAGUGUAAAGAGCUUUUGGAAUAAGAGCUGGGCAAGACCGGUGCCAGCCGCCGCGGUAACACCGGCAGCUCUAGUGGUAACAAUUUUUAUUGGGCCUAAAGCGUCCGUAGCCGGUUUAAUAAGUCUCUGGUGAAAUCCUGUAGCUUAACUGUGGGAAUUGCUGGAGAUACUAUUAGACUUGAGACCGGGAGAGGUUAGAGGUACUCCCAGGGUAGAGGUGAAAUUCUGUAAUCCUGGGAGGACCGCCUGUUGCGAAGGCGUCUAACUGGAACGGUUCUGACGGUGAGGGACGAAAGUUAGGGGCGCGAACCGGAUUAGAUACCCGGGUAGUCCUAACUGUAAACGAUGCGGACUUGGUGUUGGGGUGGCUUUGAGCUGCUCCAGUGCCGAAGGGAAGCUGUUAAGUCCGCCGCCUGGGAAGUACGGUCGCAAGAACGAAACUUAAAGGAAUU